rnacentral:rRNA from 1 species
UAGGGAAUCUUCCGCAAUGGACGAAAGUCUGACGGAGCAAUGCCGCGUGAGUGAAGAAGGUUUUCGGAUCGUAAAACUCUGUUGUUAGAGAAGAACAAGGAUGAGAGUAACUGCUCAUCCCCUGACGGUAUCUAACCAGAAAGCCACGGCUAACUACGUGCCAGCAGCCGCGGUAAUACGUAGGUGGCAAGCGUUGUCCGGAUUUAUUGGGCGUAAAGCGAGCGCAGGCGGUUCUUUAAGUCUGAUGUGAAAGCCCCCGGCUCAACCGGGGAGGGUCAUUGGAAACUGGAGAACUUGAGUGCAGAAGAGGAGAGUGGAAUUCCAUGUGUAGCGGUGAAAUGCGUAGAUAUAUGGAGGAACACCAGUGGCGAAGGCGACUCUCUGGUCUGUAACUGACGCUGAGGCUCGAAAGCGUGGGGAGCAAA